rnacentral:rRNA from 1 species
GACGUAGGGGGCAAGCGUUGUCCGGAAUUAUUGGGCGUAAAGAGCUCGUAGGCGGUUUGUCGCGUCUGCUGUGAAAACCCGAGGCUCAACCUCGGGCCUGCAGUGGGUACGGGCAGACUAGAGUGCGGUAGGGGAGAUUGGAAUUCCUGGUGUAGCGGUGGAAUGCGCAGAUAUCAGGAGGAACACCAAUGGCGAAGGCAGAUCUCUGGGCCGUAACUGACGCUGAGGAGCGAAAGCAUGGGGAGCGAACAGG